AUGCACCGGCUAUCUUGGCAUAAGCUUACAGUACCAAAAUGUAAGGUCGGAAUGGGAUUCCGUGACUUCAAUUUCUUUAACUUGGUGAUGCUAGGGAAACACGGUUGGAGACUGAUGACUAACCCAACUUCCUUGUGCGCCAGAGUUCUGAAGGGGAGGUAUUUUCAUGAUUGUGACUUCAUGCAUUCUAGUGCACCCUCGAAUUCAUCAGCAACUUGGCGUGCUAUUAUCUCUGAGAGAGACGCCUUGAAUGUUGGACUAAUUAACAGGAUUGGGGAUGGUUCGAGUGUAUAUGUGUGGGAUGACAAAUGGAUUCCAGGUAUAUUGACAAUGAAACCUAUCGUCAAACCUGCGAACACUUCAGUACAAUUUGUGAGUGACUUAAUUGAUGAUGAAAACUGGUCGUGGCGGAUGGACCUAGUUCGAGACACCUUUUGUAACGCCCCGAGACCGACGCUCCAGAAGACUUCCAGUUAUUCCGAGUUUCGUCGUGUGUUUCUUUUGUGCUUGCUCUUUUAUUUUUGCAUUGCAUCAUGUCAUCAUGCCAUCAUGUCAUUAAUUUUUAUAACUCUUCUAAAUAAAUUGUAUGGAUUUUUCAAUCCAUUUAAAUUAAGGGAUAUUCACAUGGUGAUUUAUCUUUAA
rnacentral:rRNA from 1 species